GACGAACGCUGGCGGCGUGCUUAACACAUGCAAGUCGAACGAUGAAGCCGGAGCUUGCUCUGGUGAAUUAGUGGCGAACGGGUGAGUAACACGUGAGUAACCUGCCCUUGACUCUGGGAUAACUGCGGGAAACUGUAGCUAAUACCGGAUACGACCCUCGGAGGCAUCUCCGGGGGGUGGAAAGGAUUUCGGUCAAGGACGGACUCGCGGCCUAUCAGCUAGUUGGUGAGGUAAAGGCUCACCAAGGCGACGACGGGUAGCCGGCCUGAGAGGGUGACCGGCCACACUGGGACUGAGACACGGCCCAGACUCCUACGGGAGGCAGCAGUGGGGAAUAUUGCACAAUGGGCGCAAGCCUGAUGCAGCAACGCCGCGUGAGGGAUGACGGCCUUCGGGUUGUAAACCUCUUUUAGCAGGGAAGAAGCGAAAGUGACGGUACCUGCAGAAAAAGCACCGGCUAACUACGUGCCAGCCGCCGCCGUAA
rnacentral:rRNA from 1 species